GAUGAACGCUGGCGGCGUGCCUAAUACAUGCAAGUCGAGCGAACAGACGAGGAGCUUGCUCCUCGGACGUUAGCGGCGGACGGGUGAGUAACACGUGGAUAACCUACCUAUAAGACUGGGAUAACUUCGGGAAACCGGAUCUAAUACCGGAUAAUAUAUGGAACCGCCUUGUUCAAUAGUGAAAGACGGUGUUGCUGUCUCUUAUAGCUGCAUCCGCGCGGCAUUAGCUGGUUGGGAAGGUAACGGCUUACCACGGCAACGAUGCGUAGCCGACCUGAGAGGGUGAUCGGCCACACUGGAGCUGAGACACGGUCCAGACUCCUACGGGAGGCAGCAGUAGGGAAUCUUCGGCAGUGGGCGAAAGCAUGACGGAGCAACGCCGCGUGAGUGACGAAGGUCUUCGGAUCGUAAAACUCUGUUAUUAGGGAAGAACAAAUGUGUAAGUAAAUAUGCACGUCUUGACGGUACCUAAUCAGAAAGCUACGGCUAACUACGUG
rnacentral:rRNA from 1 species